rnacentral:lncRNA from 1 species
CAUUCGGUCCCGCUGCCUAGAUGGGCGAGCCAACCAGAAGCGUGCUGCUGCCCUUUUCACUGCCACUAUGCGGCAGGUUCCAGGUUCUUGUUCUGUGACCAGAAGAAUGAGAGACAAGUUGCAAUGUUCCCCAAGCUGAUCUCAAAUACCUGGCCUCAAGUUAUCCCCCCACCUCAGCCUCCCAGGUUGGGAUUGCAGGUACACACCAGCACGUCUGUCUUUGUGAACCUAUUGGAAGAAUCAUAUGGUAUUUAUCUUUCAUUCUGUUAAUAUUGUUUGUCACAUUUAUUGAUUUGCAUUUGUUGAACCAUUCUAGAAUCCCAGGGUUAAAUCCCACUUGAUCCCAAUGCAUGAUCAUUUUAAUGCACUGUUGAAUUUGGCUUGUUAGUACUUUGAUGAGGAUUUUUACAUCUAUGUUUAUCAAGGAUAUUGGUCUAUAAUUAUCUUUUCUUAUAGUGUCCUUCUCUGGCUUUGGGUAAUUAUAGGGUAUGAU